AUUGAACGCUGGCGGCAGGCCUAACACAUGCAAGUCGGACGGUAGCACAGAGGAGCUUGCUCCUCGGGUGACGAGUGGCGGACGGGUGAGUAAUGUCUGGGGAUCUGCCCGAUAGAGGGGGAUAACCACUGGAAACGGUGGCUAAUACCGCAUAACGUCGCAAGACCAAAGAGGGGGACCUUCUGGCCUCUCACUAUCGGAUGAACCCAGAUGGGGGUAGCUAGUAGGCGGGGUAACGGCCCACCUAGGCGACGAUCCCUAGCUGGUCUGAGAGGAUGACCAGCCACACUGGAACUGAGACACGGUCCAGACUCCUACGGGAGGCAGCAGUGGGGAAUAUUGCACAAUGGGCGCAAGCCUGAUGCAGCCAUGCCGCGUGUAUGAAGAAGGCCUUCGGGUUGUAAAGUACUUUCAGCGGGGAGGAAGGCGAUGUGGUUAAUAACCGCGUCGAUUGACGUUACCCGCAGAAGAAGCACCGGCUAACUCCGUGCCAGCCGCCGCAGUAA
rnacentral:rRNA from 1 species